UUCACGUCAAAUCUGUCAAAGUAAACGUCAAAAGAUGUUUAUACAAGUAACUUAUAAGGACACACCGGAGCUAUCCAAUUUCCUACAGAGAUCUUCUGAGCCGGAUCUCUCUAUUGAGAAGAUAUUGUUAGUUAACCCGAAAUGCCACGUCAGAGUACUGCUGGAGUAUUUAAGGAAGAAAUGCCGGCUGGCGACAUCCACUGUCUUCGAUUUGUGCGACGAAUCCGGUGUGGUCAAGGGACUGUUUAGUUUACCUACAUAUGCCUACCCUACAGAAUUGUUUGAGCAUAAGAAAAUAUACUAUCUAGUUGUGAUAAGACAGGAAAGCGACAAGCGGAUAUCCGUUCUGCCACAGCUGAAUCGAAAUAAUCUGACGUAUAUGGAACUAAAGGCAAAAGUGACGAGAUAUCUGUUGACCGGCGAGACAAGUCCGCAGGGUACCGGGUCCUCGGGAAAGGCCACUCCACCUUCGCAAACUAAGGGCACAGGGAAGAAGAAAUAAAUCCAUGAUAGGAAACUUAUCAAGCAACUCUAUCCUUCAAACCAUUGCUGUCUUACAAUUUUGUUUGUCCGAGUUUUGAAUUAAAAUAAAAACUAAAUUAUUACAA